ensembl:snoRNA
UGGAUCAAUGAUGAGAAAGUAUCAUGAAUGAGGGAUUAUGAAUAAUCUAUUUUUGUGAACCUGAGGUCAAA